UUGUGGCUGGCCUUUUACCCUAAUUGGCAAGGGGCAGGCACACCUCUUUUCUCCAUCACACCCCCUGUGAUGUAACAGCAACAUGGUGGAUAAUUCCAUCAUCCAUUUGCUGUCUACUUAAUUUACACACACUCUACUUAAUUUAAACUGAAUGUAAUUGAUGUAACGCAUCUAAUACUAAGUUUCAACAACGGAUCUCUUGGCUCUCGCAUCGAUGAAGAACGCAGCGAAAUGCGAUAAGUAAUGUGAAUUGCAGAAUUCAGUGAAUCAUCGAAUCUUUGAACGCACCUUGCGCUCCUUGGUAUUCCUUGGAGCAUGCCUGUUUGAGUAUCAUGAAAUCUUCAAAGUAAACCUUUUGUUAAUUCAAUUGGUCUUUUUUACUUUGGUUUUGGAGGAUCUUAUUGCAGCUUCACACCUGCUCCUCUUUGUGCAUUAGCUGGAUCUCAGUGUUAUGCUUGGUUCCACUCGGCGUGAUAAGUUAUCUAUCGCUGAGGACACCCGUAAAAAAGGUGGCCAAGGUAAAUGCAGAUGAACCGCUUCUAAUAGUCCAUUGACUGGACAAUAUUCUAUUUUAAUCAUCUCAAAUCAGGUAGGACUAC
rnacentral:rRNA from 1 species